UUAUUUUUUGUUUACCUAAAUGCGAUGAAAAAAAGUUUCUUUCAUCUCUUGAUUUAUUUGAAUGAGUGCGAAGGAGAAAACAUUAUUGUCAAUAGUGACAAUAGAAAAUCCCAAAAAGGGUAAUAAAAAAACGAUUGAAAGCCGCAUGCCGUUCGUGAUCGUACCAUCGUAAAGGAGGCUCGAACGACAAGAAGGUAAGUAAAUGAAUUUUAUGUGAUUUUUUAACAAUAUUUUGGAACUAAUUACUUCAUUUAUUUUUAUAGCAUUGGAAAUUGGAAGUAGCAGCAGCAGCUAUGUAUAUCAUCAGAAGCGGCAAAUAUCAAUUGUUAAGUGUUAAUAAUCUUUACUUUAUUUUCAGGUAUUUGUCUUUUAUAAUAUUUUUCCACUCUUUUAUUUUC